rnacentral:rRNA from 1 species
AGUGAACGCUGGCGGUAGGCCUAACACAUGCAAGUCAAACGGCAGCACAGUAAGAGCUUGCUCUUACGGGUGGCGAGUGGCGGACGGGUGAGGAAUACAUCGGAAUCUACUUUUUCGUGGGGGAUAACGUAGGGAAACUUACGCUAAUACCGCAUACGACCUACGGGUGAAAGCAGGGGAUCUUCGGACCUUGCGCGAUUGAAUGAGCCGAUGUCGGAUUAGCUAGUUGGCGGGGUAAAGGCCCACCAAGGCGACGAUCCGUAGCUGGUCUGAGAGGAUGAUCAGCCACACUGGAACUGAGACACGGUCCAGACUCCUACGGGAGGCAGCAGUGGGGAAUAUUGGACAAUGGGCGCAAGCCUGAUCCAGCCACACCGCGUGGGUGAAGAAGGCCUUCGGGUUGUAAAGCCCUUUUGUUGGGAAAGAAAAGCAGCAGGUUAAUACCCCGCUGUUCUGACGGUACCCAAAGAAUAAGCACCGGCUAACUUCGUG